rnacentral:rRNA from 1 species
AACGAACGCUGGCGGCGUGCCUAACACAUGCAAGUCGAACGUGAUUGGAAGCUUGCUUCCAUGAAAGUGGCGCACGGGUGAGUAACGCGUAGAUAAUCUACCUGAUGAUCCGGGAUCACAGUUCGAAAGGACUGCUAAUACCUGAUAAGCCCACGGGGUCUUUGGACUCUGUGGGAAAAGGGGGGGACCUUUAUCGGCCUUCCGUCAUCAGAUGAGUCUGCGUACCAUUAGCUAGUUGGUAGGGUAAAGGCCUACCAAGGCGACGAUGGUUAGCUGGUCUGAGAGGAUGAUCAGCCACACUGGAACUGAGACACGGUCCAGACUCCUACGGGAGGCAGCAGUGGGGAAUUUUGCGCAAUGGGGGAAACCCUGACGCAGCAACGCCGCGUGAGUGAUGAAGGCCCUUGGGUCGUAAAGCUCUGACAGAGGGAAAGAAAUGCAGGGGAGCUAAUAUCUUCCUUGCUUGACGGUACCCUCAAAGGAAGCACCGGCUAACUCCGUGCCAGCCGCCGCGGUAAAAC